AAUUCGAUUGAGUUUGAUCAUGGCUCAGGAUGAACGCUGGCGGUAUGCUUAACACAUGCAAGUCGAACGGUGUCUUCGGACACAGUGGCGGACGGGUGAGUAACGCGUGAGAAUCUGCCUUCAGGUCUGGGACAACCACUGGAAACGGUGGCUAAUACCGGAUGUGCCGAGAGGUGAAAGGUUAACUGCCUGAAGAUGAGCUCGCGUCUGAUUAGCUAGUUGGUAGAGUAAGAGCCUACCAAGGCGACGAUCAGUAGCUGGUCUGAGAGGAUGAUCAGCCACACUGGGACUGAGACACGGCCCAGACUCCUACGGGAGGCAGCAGUGGGGAAUUUUCCGCAAUGGGCGAAAGCCUGACGGAGCAAUACCGCGUGAGGGAGGAAGGCUCUUGGGUCGUAAACCUCUUUUCUCAGGGAAGAACACAAUGACGGUACCUGAGGAAUAAGCAUCGGCUAACUCCGUGCCAGCAGCCGCGGCAAUACGGAGGAUGCAAGCGUUAUCCGGAAUGAUUGGGCGUAAAGCGUCCGCAGGUGGCUAUGUAAGUCUGCUGUUAAAGCGUCUAGCUCAACUAGAUAAAAGCAGUGGAAACUACAAGGCUAGAGUGCGUUCGGGGCAGAGGGAAUUCCUGGUGUAGCGGUGAAAUGCGUAGAGAUCAGGAAGAACACCGGCGGCGAAGGCGCUCUGCUAGGCCGCAACUGACACUGAGGGACGAAAGCUAGGGGAGCGAAUGGGAUUAGAUACCCCAGUAGUCCUAGCCGUAAACGAUGGAU
rnacentral:rRNA from 1 species